ACGGGAGGCAGCAGUGGGGAAUCUUCCGCAAUGGGCGAAAGCCUGACGGAGCAACGCCGCGUGAGUGAAGAAGGUCUUCGGAUCGUAAAGCUCUGUUGUCGGGGACGAAUGUACCUUUUGUGAAUAAUGAGAGGUAAUGACGGUACCUGACGAGGAAGCCACGGCUAACUACGUGCCAGCAGCCGCGGUAAUACGUAGGUGGCGAGCGUUGUCCGGAAUUAUUGGGCGUAAAGGGAGCGCAGGCGGGAAGGCAAGUCAGUCUUAAAAGUGCGGGGCUCAACCCCGUGAUGGGAUUGAAACUGUCUUUCUUGAGUGCAGGAGAGGAAAGCGGAAUUCCUAGUGUAGCGGUGAAAUGCGUAGAUAUUAGGAGGAACACCAGUGGCGAAGGCGGCUUUCUGGACUGUAACUGACGCUGAGGCUCGAAAGCGUGGGGAGCGAACAGGAUUAGAUACCCUGGUA
rnacentral:rRNA from 1 species